rnacentral:misc_RNA from 1 species
GAUGAAGAACGCAGCGAAAUGCGAUAAGUAAUGUGAAUUGCAGAAUUCAGUGAAUCAUCGAAUCUUUGAACGCACAUUGCGCCCCUUGGUAUUCCGAGGGGCAUGCCUAUUCGAGCGUCAUUAUCACCCCUCAAGCUCCGGCUUGGUGUUGAGGCCUGCUGUAAAGGCACCCUCUAAAAUCAGUGGCAGUGCUGUCAGGCUCUAAGCGUAGUAAUUCUCUCGCUACAGGGUCCCGGUGGACACUCGCCAGAACCCCCCCAUUUUUUAAUGAUUGACCUCGGAUUAGGUAGGGAUACCCGCUGAACUUAAGCAUAUCAAAAGCGGAGGA